rnacentral:lncRNA from 1 species
AGAGAAAGUGAGUAAGGAGGCAUUAUUGUGGCAUCCUUACCCAUUUUUUUAAUAGUUCAUAUGUCAUCUUAGCACAUCCAUUUUGUGAGCAGAGUCUCUAUUUAGUAAAAUAAAGUGCUCAGUCUACAAUGUUACUUCAUGUUUUUCACUUCGUCUGAGUUCAUUUUUUGCAGGAAUGAUAAACUAUCUUCAGAUUUUAUCUGAUUACAACUAUAAGUUUUCAAAAUCUAAAUUUUUGUUGAGUCUAGGCCAUAAAAAUACAUCAGAAGAAUGGAGAACCUAGCCAUUUAAUCAGCCAGAUUAUCAGUACUUCUAUAAAAAGCUUUUAAAUGGCAAGAAGAUAAAAUGUUAAGUGUGGAUAGUAAUUACUUGCCUUUAUCUCUUGCGCCAGGUUUCAGACCUCACCAUAUGGGUGUUUGUGCAAGAUUAAAUAGCUAUUCAAGUGUGUAAUGAGUAUAGAUACUAAACUGAACUAAAAGACAUGGCAUGGAAUAGGUCAGAGCAGAUCAAUUCUGUAGAAAUGGAAUAUGAAAGAGCUGACUGAUAGAUUUCCAUAAUUCCAAUCGUAUAUAUAUUUUGAGAGCCAUUAUACAAAAUAAAGAAAAAUCUUCUUUUUCCAUUAUUUUUUAUAGGUAGCAAAAUAGUAUAGAGGAAAGGAGGAAAGGAAUUUGGGACAAAACAAACAGACUGCCACCUGAAUAUAGGUGCUUCAGAAGUGGAAUGCCGAAAUAACUUGCUUUGUUCAGAACAGCCAAGUUUAAGCAUUCAUAGUUAAUAUUGCAUCCCCUACCACCAGGCCUUUUACUCUGAAAAAUGUCCCAAUUUGGUUGAUGAAUUAUGUGCUCAGACUAAAAUUCCUUGGAGUCAUCCUUGACUCCUGUUUUUCUCACUCACCACAUCCAAUCCACCAGGGAUGCCUGUUUAACCAGAGUUCAAAAUGUAUUCCACAUCUGACCUCAUUUACUUCUAUCACCAUUACGUCUGCCUCCAUUACUGCUUCCCUCUUUAUUCCCCUGCAGCUUGUUCUCAACAUAGCAGCCAGAGUAAUCCAGUGAAGACCUAAAUUCGAUAUUCUAUCUCACUUGGAAUAAAAGGCAACAUCCAUACAAAGCCUGACAAACUCUCCCUCCCCCAUUAUCUAUCUGACUUAAUCUUCUACCACUCUGCCUCUCAAAGGUCAGCACAUUCUGACCUUGG